UAGAGUUUGAUCCUGGCUCAGGACGAACGCUGGAGGCGUGCUUAACACAUGCAAGUCGAACGAUGAAGUGGAGCUUGCUCCACGGAUUAGUGGCGGACGGGUGCGUAACACGUGAGCAACCUACCCUGAAGUGGGGGAUAGCUCGCCGAAAGGCGAAUUAAUACCGCAUGUGGCCAAGGAAGACAUCUUCCUGACGCCAAAGCCGGGGCAACCUGGCGCUUCUUGAUGGGCUCGCGGCCUAUCAGCUUGUUGGUGAGGUAACGGCUCACCAAGGCUAUGACGGGUAGCUGGUCUGAGAGGACGACCAGCCACACUGGAACUGAGACACGGUCCAGACACCUACGGGUGGCAGCAGUCGAGAAUUUUUCACAAUGGGGGAAACCCUGAUGGAGCGACGCCGCGUGGAGGAUGAAGGUUUUCGGAUUGUAAACUCCUGUCAUUAGAGAACAAGGCACACGGUUUAACUGGCCGUGUGUUGAUAGUAUCUGAAGAGGAAGAGACGGCUAACCCUGUGCCAGCAGCCGCGGUAAUACAGAGGUCCCAAGCGUUGUUCGGAAUCACUGGGCGUAAAGGGUGCGUAGGCGGCGUGGCAAGUCAGAUGUGAAAUACCGGGGCUCAACCCCGGAACGGCAUCCGAUACUGCCAUGCUGGAGUAGUGGAGAGGAGUCUGGAAUUCACGGUGUAGCAGUGAAAUGCGUAGAUAUCGUGAGGAACACUAGUGGCGAAGGCGAGAUGCUGGACACUUACUGACGCUGAGGCACGAAGGCCAGGGUAGCGAAAGGGAUUAGAUACCCGCGUAGUCCUAGCAGUAAACGGUGCGCGUUUGGUGUGGGAGGAUUCGACCCCUUCCGUGCCGGAGCUAACGCGUUAAACGUGCCGCCUGGGGAGUACGGUCGCAAGACUAAAACUCAAAGAAAUUGACGGGGACCCGCACAAGCGGUGGAGUAUGUGGCUUAAUUCGAUGCAACGCGAAGAACCUUACCUGGGCUUGACAUGCAUCCCUAAACGGGUGAAAGGUAGGCUGCCCUUCGCGUUGAAACUUGCACAGGUGUUGCAUGGCUGUCGUCAGCUCGUGCUGUGAAGUGUCGGGUUAAGUCCCUUAACGAGCGAAACCCCUAUCGUUAGUUGCCAGCGAGUAAUGUCGGGGACUCUAGCGAGACUGCCGGCGUCAAGCCGGAGGAAGGUGGGGACGACGUCAAGUCAUCAUGGCCCUUAUGCCCGGGGUUGCACACGUGCUACAAUGGCGCGCACAGAGGGAAGCAAGACCGCGAGGUGGAGCAAACCCCAAAAACGCGCCCCAGUUCGGAUUGGAGUCUGAAAUUCGACUCCAUGAAGUUGGAAUCGCUAGUAAUCGCGUAUCAGCUACGACGCGGUGAAUAUGUUCCUGAGCCUUGUACACACCGCCCGUCAAGUCAUGGAAGCUGGUAGCACCCGAAGUCCGUUUAGCUAACCCGCAAGGGAUGCGACGGCCGACGGUGAGACUGGUGACGUAACAAGGUAACCGUA
rnacentral:rRNA from 1 species